UUAAACUGAUAAGUCGAUGUGUUUUGGGCUUCGAGUUAUGUCUUCGCCGUGUCUUCUUCUCUUGGAUACUCCGCCGUCACAAUCAAAAUUCGUAGACACCGCCGUGCUCACUAUCUCCACCAAUUUUAUGUAGAUCGAUUGUUAUCAGAGCAUAUCAUGUUGGAAUCCAUCAUCUGUUUCUUAUCAUCAAUCUUCCUUCUUACCGACAACAGAAAUCUGAAGACGUUACGGAAUUUGGCUGAUUUCAAGCGUCAUCUUGGAACCGUCAUCUUUAAAGCACUCAUUAACAAUCCCUCCUCAAUUACUUCCUUUCUGUGCAUCCUUGACUAUAAAUAGGCGACCCUUAUGCAAGCCAUUGUCACCGUCACCGUCAAGCGGACAGUUCAGAAUCGUCAGCUGCAGAUUUGGUCAUUAAGGCGUUGAAAGAGCCGAAGAGAGACCGUAAAAAUAGUUAAGAACGUUACGCACAAGACUACUAGAGAUAUUCAAGAAGGUGAGAUCAGUAUUCAUGGUUACCAAGGUGAAAAACGCACCCAGAAAAAAAGAUUUUAUGGGAGUUGAAAAGAUGAUAUCUUCUCUUCUUUCAUUUUUAUAUAGGGUGAGCUGUUAAGUUUCUUCACUCAGAAUGACUCAAUUUUUUAUUACGGUUGUAUUGCGUUCCUUCUGCUUAACAAUACCGAUCGAAAGUUAUAUAGAUUUCUUUUAUAGCAUUGUUUUUCUCUUGCUCUCACAUUUAAGCCUUCUCCCGUAAUGAUGCUACUAAUUUCUUUCUCCAGUGAACUAAUAUGAUAUAAUGUGAGGUGAGUCUUAUUUUCUUCUCCUCUUCUUUCCACAGAUCUUAUUUUAUAUAAGAUCUUAGAUACCCAUUAAAAUACUUGGAUUACAUUUUUUCUUUUGUUUUUUGUUUUUUUUUUUUUUUUUUUGAACUGACCAAACUGUCUUUAUUUGGUUUUUGUGUAAAGCUUUUGUACACUGAGAAAACGUUGAUGUAGUUCGAGAAAAGGAGUAGCAGAGCUAAGGGUCUGACCUUCCACCCCAAAAAAACCAAGAAAUCUCGCCAGUUUCUCAGAGGUGUCAUCCAGCAAUGUUAUUAUCUAAUGGGUUCUUUUGUUUUUACUCCACAGCUUUUCUUCCUCUCAACAGGUAAGAUAGGAAAUCUAUUUACAUGAAAAAACUGCACUCUAUGGAGCUUUACUGGAUUUUUUAUGAUAGAUAGUCCUCCACUCAAAUCAUUGUAAAAAGAUUAUGCUUACGUUCAUAUGUAUGUGUUGAAUAUAUGAAUGAUCUUCUGGAUUCACUAAGUUGUUGAGAUACAUAUAUAUUUUUAUUUUGUUCAUGAUUA